GACGAACGCUGGCGGCGUGCUUAACACAUGCAAGUCGAACGAUGAAGCCGGAGCUUGCUCUGGUGAAUUAGUGGCGAACGGGUGAGUAACACGUGAGUAACCUGCCCUUGACUCUGGGAUAACUGCGGGAAACUGUAGCUAAUACCGGAUACGACCCUCGGAGGCAUCUCCUGGGGGUGGAAAGAAUUUCGGUCAAGGAUGGACUCGCGGCCUAUCAGCUAGUUGGUGAGGUAAAGGCUCACCAAGGCGACGACGGGUAGCCGGCCUGAGAGGGGGACCGGCCACACUGGGACUGAGACACGGGCCAGACUACUACGGGAGGGAGGAGUGGGGAAUAUUGGACAAUGGGCGAAAGCCUGAUGCAGCGACGCCGCGUGAGGGAUGAAGGUCUUCGGAUUGUAAACCUCUUUCAGUAGGGACGAAGCGAAAGUGACGGUACCUAAAGAAGAAGCACCGGCUAACUACGUGCCAGCCGCCGCCGUAA
rnacentral:rRNA from 1 species